UCACAAGCAGUUGUAUAUUUGCAGCUAGCCCAAAAGUAUUUCAUAAUAUGAUCAGUGAAGGGAAGUGAAGGUACCCAGGCAGGUGCCUCCCUCCAAAACUGGGCAAAGUUCUCGGGUACCUAGCCUGAAGGGGUCUGGGGAUGCAAUCCACAAGUCACUCUCUGUCUGGAAGAGGCCAUCAAAUUUCACCAAGUAUGCCUGGGAGGAGGAACGGGUAGCUACUGGGCAUGCACGUCCUUCCCAAUUUGUCCACAAUUCAGGUAGCUACCGAUACAGGUAUGCAGCUUUUGCCAGAAUGUCCGCAGGUAACACAUAAUUUUUCCUAAGUACGAUGUGGUGGGGGAAAGGUAUGUACCGGGCAUGUACCAACCUCCCAGUCAGCCAAACCUCUCCGUAACCUAGCCUAGAGGGAUCCACGUUUAGGAUCCACAAAGACAAAAUCUCUCUUGGAGGAAGCCAAAUGUUUUCAGAAGCAUGCUGAGGUGAGAAGGCAAGGGUAGCUACCAGGCAUACACAUACCUCUAAACUGGGCCAGCCUUGUG